rnacentral:rRNA from 1 species
CCCCUAGUAACUGCGAGUGAAGCGGGAAAAGCUCAAAUUUAAAAUCUGGCGGUCUUUGGCCGUCCGAGUUGUAGUCUGGAGAAGUGCUUUCCGCGCUGGGCCGUGUAUAAGUCUCUUGGAACAGAGCGUCAUAGAGGGUGAGAAUCCCGUCUUUGACACGGACUACCAGUGCUUUGUGAUGCGCUCUCAAAGAGUCGAGUUGUUUGGGAAUGCAGCUCAAAAUGGGUGGUGAAUUCCAUCUAAAGCUAAAUAUUGGCGAGAGACCGAUAGCGAACAAGUACCGUGAGGGAAAGAUGAAAAGCACUUUGGAAAGAGAGUUAAACAGUACGUGAAAUUGCUGAAAGGGAAACGCUUGAAGUCAGUCGCGUUGUCUGGGACUCAGCCUUGCUUUUGCUUGGUGCACUUUCCGGAUGACGGGCCAGCAUCGAUUUUGACCGUCGGAAAAGGGCUAGGGUAAUGUGGCACCUCCGGGUGUGUUAUAGACUCUAGUCGCAUACGGCGGUUGGGAUCGAGGAACGCAGCGCGCCGUAAGGCAGGGGUUCGCCCACUUUCGCGCUUAGGAUGCUGGCGUAAUGGCUUUAAACGACCCGUCUUGAAACACGGACCAAGGAGUCUAACAUACCUGCGAGUGUUUGGGUGGAAAACCCGAGCGCGUAAUGAAAGUGAAAGUUGAGACCUCUGUCGUGGAGGGCAUCGACGCCCGGACCUGACGUUCUCUGACGGAUCCGCGGUAGAGCAUGUAUGUUGGGACCCGAAAGAUGGUGAACUAUGCCUGAAUAGGGUGAAGCCAGAGGAAACUCUGGUGGAGGCUCGUAGCGAUUCUGACGUGCAAAUCGAUCGUCAAAUUUGGGUAUAGGGGCGAAAGACUAAUCGU